rnacentral:sRNA from 1 species
GUUUCAGCUUUUUGGCAUAAUGACUUAAAUUUGAAGAUAGUUGAUUUCUUACUUGAAGCUUGCUAGUGUGCGUAUUUCCUUACAUUAUAGAUCUUCUUGGAAACAGAAUUGUUCUACAAAGGUAUCCGCCCUGCAAUUAACGUUGGUCUGUCUGUGUCUCGUGUCGGAUCCGCUGCCCAAACCAGGGCUAUGAAGCAGGUGGCAGGUACUAUGAAGCUGGAAUUGGCUCAGUAUCGUGAGGUUGCUGCUUUUGCCCAGUUCGGUUCUGACCUCGAUGCUGCCACUCAACAACUUUUGAGUCGUGGCGUGCGUCUAACUGAGUUGCUGAAGCAAGGACAGUAUUCUCCCAUGGCUAUUGAAGAACAAGUGGCUGUUAUCUAUGCGGGUGUAAGGGGGUAUCUUGAUAAACUGGAGCCCAGCAAGAUUACAAAGUUUGAGAAUGCUUUCUUGUCUCAUGUCGUCAGCCAGCACCAAGCCUUGUUGGGCACUAUCAGGUAUGAAUGCAGUUGUUGGCAUCUUUUUGUAAAGUUAUGUUUAAGAUAUGAAGUUAAAAUUAUUUUCAAAUCUGUAG